rnacentral:rRNA from 1 species
AUGGUGAAAAAAAAGGUGCACUGGAUUGCAUGGGACAAAAUGUGCUUAGCUAAAUGAGAUGGUGGAUUGGGGUACAGAGACUCGUUUGCUUUUAACGAAACGUUGUUGGCAAAACAGUCUUGGUGAAUUUUGGAGGUGCCUUCCUCAUUAUGUGCUCGAUUUCUUAAAGCAAGAUGUUUCAAAGAGGGGGCCAUUAUGAAUGCCACAUGUCCAUCAAGAGCCUCUUAUACAUUCUGAAGCAUUAUGCGCGGGAGAGACCUUUUGAUGGGAGGGCAAGAUAUGGCGCAUAGGAGACGGCUCAAAAAUUCCGAUUCACCAUGA